rnacentral:rRNA from 1 species
UACAGAGGGUGCGAGCGUUAAUCGGAAUUACUGGGCGUAAAGCGUGCGUAGACGGCUAUCUAAGUCUGCUGUGAAAUCCCCGGGCUCAACCUGGGAAUGGCAGUGGAUACUGGGAGGCUAGAGUGUGAUAGAGGAUGGUGGAAUUCCCGGUGUAGCGGUGAAAUGCGUAGAGAUCGGGAGGAACAUCAGUGGCGAAGGCGGCCAUCUGGAUCAACACUGACGCUGAGGCACGAAAGCGUGGGGAGCAAACAGG